rnacentral:lncRNA from 1 species
AUAUCAAUCCAGAUUGCAUAAGGAAGUAUCAAAUACAUAAUCUACUUGCUAUUACAAGCAUUCAUUUUACAACCACUCUUUACAUCACAGUUUCAGUUUACAUUUUACUUCCAAAUUACAAUCUAAUUAUUACAUAACUUUACAUGUUUAGUACAUUUUGCUUUUCCUUGUCUUCUAGUCCCCUAAGCUAGACUGCCUCAGGGUACUGCUACCUCGGUCUCUG